GUACACUCCUGCGGGAGGCAGCAGUGGGGAAUAUUGGACAAUGGGCGCAAGCCUGAUCCAGCCAUGCCGCGUGAGUGAUGAAGGCCCUAGGGUUGUAAAGCUCUUUCACCGGUGAAGAUAAUGACGGUAACCGGAGAAGAAGCCCCGGCUAACUUCGUGCCAGCAGCCGCGGUAAUACGAAGGGGGCUAGCGUUGUUCGGAUUUACUGGGCGUAAAGCGCACGUAGGCGGACUAUUAAGUCAGGGGUGAAAUCCCGGGGCUCAACCCCGGAACUGCCUUUGAUACUGGUAGUCUUGAGUUCGAGAGAGGAGAGUGGAAUUCCGAGUGUAGAGGUGAAAUUCGUAGAUAUUCGGAGGAACACCAGUGGCGAAGGCGGCUCACUGGCUCGAUACUGACGCUGAGGUGCGAAAGCGUGGGGAGCAAACAGGAUUAGAAACCCUAGUAGUCCCAUGAU
rnacentral:rRNA from 1 species